rnacentral:rRNA from 1 species
GAUGAACGCUAGCUACAGGCUUAACACAUGCAAGUCGCGGGGCAGCAUGGGGGUUGCUUGCAAUCCCCGAUGGCGACCGGCGCACGGGUGAGUAACGCGUAUCCAACCUGCCCUUCACCACGGGAUAACCCGGCGAAAGUCGGACUAAUACCGUAUGUUGUCCAUUGACGGCAUCCGAUUUGGACGAAAGGUUUGGCGGUGAAGGCUGGGGAUGCGUCCGAUUAGCUGGACGGCGGGGUGACGGCCCACCGGGGCGACGAUCGGUAGGGGUUCUGGGGGGAAGGUCCCCCACACUGGAACUGGGACACGGGCCAGACUCCUACGGGAGGCAGCAGUGAGGAAUAUUGGUCAAUGGGCGUAAGCCUGAACCAGCCAAGUAGCGUGCAGGAAGACGGCCCGAUGGGUUGUAAACUGCUUUUAUGCGGGGAUAAAGUGGCCCACGUGUGGGUUUUUGCAGGUACCGCAUGAAUAAGGACCGGCUAAUUCCGUG